CUACGUGCCAGCAGCCGCGGUAAUACGUAGGUCCCGAGCGUUGUCCGGAUUUAUUGGGCGUAAAGCGAGCGCAGGCGGUUUGAUAAGUCUGAAGUUAAAGGCUGUGGCUCAACCAUAGUUCGCUUUGGAAACUGUCAAACUUGAGUGCAGAAGGGGAGAGUGGAAUUCCAUGUGUAGCGGUGAAAUGCGUAGAUAUAUGGAGGAACACCGGUGGCGAAAGCGGCUCUCUGGUCUGUAACUGACGCUGAGGCUCGAAAGCGUGGGGAGCGAACAGGAUUAGAUACCCUGGUAGUCCACGCCGUAAACGAUGGAUACUAGCUGUUGGAGGUAUCGACCCCUUCAGUAGCGAAGCUAACGCGUUAAGUAUCCCGCCUGUGGAGUACGGCCGCAAGGCUAAAACAUAAAGGAAUUGACGGGGACCCGCACAAGCGGUGGAUUAUGUUCUUUAAUUCGAUGAUAACCGAAGAACCUUACCAGGGCUUGACAUUGACUGA
rnacentral:rRNA from 1 species